CUUAAUGGCACAGCAACAGAAGAGUUUUGUGGUGGACCAAGCAGCAUGCAUCACAACUGUUGUAUCUGCUCCCCAGAGAAUAGCCACUGGCUGCAGCUACUGAAUCAAGCAGAGAGCCUGUAAGACAAGCACGAGGAACAAAAACUGCACUGAAAAUAUAGAAAUUCAACAACAGUCAGCUUUUAAAGGCUGUCAAGAAAGGAGAGGCCACUGAGAAGAUAUCCUCACUAAAAGGAUGACAACACAGCUGUUCAUAUUUUGAAGUAUGAACACGAAUAGCUGUUGAAGGACUAAAGUUUAUUCAGAUUUUGCUCUUCUCAAACUUUUUGAAAAAUCGUUUCCUAGGAUCACAUUUUUUAAUGAUACACAAAGAAGAUCCCCUUUGCAUUUAGCUCUCAAUUGUUAGGUUGCCAUUUGGACCAGUACUCUGUGGUAAUAGUUCCAACAAGGUAAUAUCAUUGUGCUCAGGUUUUGGACUGCUACUGCAGAGUGACAGAGUCUGUUUUUCUAAGUGGAUUUAUGAAGUUGUCAUUUAGCUGGGAAUUCUUAAUCUGAAAACAAAUUAUUG
ensembl:lncRNA